CGGGGCGUGGCGCAGUCCGGCUAGCGCGCUUGCAUGGGGUGCAAGAGGCCCUGGGUUCAAAUCCCAGCGCCCCGA
rnacentral:tRNA from 2 species